AGGAGACACAAACGGGCCAGGAGACAGACAUCAUUCACCUUAGCAGCAGUUGGGACUUCCGUCAUGACAUUGUCCUGGAACCAUGGAAGAGCCAUGCCUUCAGGUGGAGGAUCUCCAAGUUUGGGUGGUGAACUUGACCUGCAUCCUGAGACAGGAGAUGUGAAACAGGGCAUACCGCCAUCUUCAACUGGUGAUGGUCUGUCAUACUGAGUGGAAUGGGGUCAGCCAGCCUGUGAAAGAAUGGACAGUUGUUGACGGUUUCAGCACUUGGAAAUGGACAGAUGUGCAAAUGCUUGAAGACCGAAGAGUUGUCCUAGAAUUUUUUAGGGUAUGGAGGGAUUCAUCAGUCUUGGCUGCGAACAAUUUCAAGCCCUCAAAGGGAAGAUCAACAGUAGAUUGUACUUCUUUCAGAAAACCAGAGAGGUGACGAUAAGAAGCCUGUUGCAUAACUCUGGCUGUAGCAAUGGAUUGUGCUGCUGUGUCUGACGCAUCCAACGAAGCUUGAAAGGCUAUCCAUGCAAGAAGGGGACCCUCCAAGAUGACUGCUUUGAAUUGUUCUUUUUUGUCAUCAAGGAUGCAAUCAAUAAACUCAGACAUUUUAGAAUAAUUUGUGUGACUGUAUUUGGCCAUUAGUGCAUCGUAACUGGCGAUUCCGAAUUGCAGAGUUGCUGACGAACAGGCCUUGCGUCCAAAGAGGUCUAACCACUUCCAGUCUUAAUCAUACGGGGUGGCUCUGGAGUGGUGUUGUCUGCGCCAUUCAUUCCUGGCCUCUACCACCAAGGAAUUCAGUAGGGCAUGUGAAAAUAAAAAAUCCAGAUCAUUAGAAGCAACUUAAUAAUUCUUCUCCGCUCUCUUACAAGUGGGCGGUAACAUUGGGUGGUCUGCCAGAUGGUUUUGGCUGGAUCCAUGAGUGCCUCAUUUAUGGGGAGCACAAUCUUCAAUGAGGUUGAUGUUUGCAAAGUGUCCAACAGCUUGUGUUGAGAUGCUGCAACUUCUUCCAAGGGUAUCCUGAGCGAGUCAGCAAUCCUUUUAAAUAGCUCCUAGAAUAGUUUAAAGUCAUCAGCUGUUGUGGGUAGUGGAGGCAUGAUGGCUUUGUCCAGAGAAGAAGAAGGAGAUAUUGGUUGAUGGGGUGACUUCUGUUGAAACAGAUCUUUUAAUUGCCCACAGCUGGGCGGGUGUUACCAGUAUCAGUGAGAAUUCGGAAACCAAUAUGCUUCAUGCACAGUAAUUUAUUUGAGGAAGAAUCACAGAAGCAGUUAAGGUUACACAGUACACAUCUUUUCCUAUAAGCCUCAGCUCCCCAAGCAUAAAUCCUCAGUAACUAUGUUAGCUCUACACAAUACCUGAUUGUCAAACAAAGCAGGUAUAUCUACCAAUUCUAGAUGGAGAUGUCUUCUCUUCUCUUCUUUUCCCCUCUCAGGAACUUGGUCUGUCAAAC